AUGAAGUGCCUCCAACCCUCAAAAAAUGAACAGGGAAAAAAAUUAUGUUUUUUCCUUAAUUUUGUCACCAUAAAAUCAUCUUCUUGCUCUGAUACACCUGACAUUUCUUGCUUGAUUGUGGAACUACAGGAGGUGAUAUUGGAGGAAAGAAGGUCUCUCUGGGAGGCAGAAGGUGAUGCUGGAAAAGCAGGCCAAUUUAGAGCUUUAUGGAAAACAAGACUGAGGGAUGACUGCUGGCUUCCUUGUCUCCUCUGCAGAUUCCUGAAGUUACGUCUUCUAAAUACUGUAGGUUUUUAAUUCUCCUUGGAUUAUUUAAUCACGAGUGUCUUGGUCCUGUUUGUGGAUUCAUACGAAGCAUCUCAUAAAGGUGAAGGAAGGAUAAGGACCCAGAGGCCCUUAGAAUGGAGGCUAUGUUACCAUCUUGGCUUGAAGUAUGGAAACAUCCCUGUGAUUACUGUAGCCCUGAAGUUAAAAGGGAAUUUUCGGAAAGUUUUAAACCAUAGGACUAUCUCCAGGGGCUCAGAUAUUUUAUUAUUAUUAUUCCUUCAUUAUUACUUUAGAAGGAAUGAAAUCAAUUUGGAAAUUGAUUUGAUUCAUACAGUAAGAAAAGUAUUAGUAGGAGAAAGAAUUUUUAAAAAUGAAGAAAGAAACAUGCAUUGAUUUGGGAGGAGUGAAUUUUAUUUCAUGCAAAGGUUAAAUCACAAAGGAAAAACUAAGAAGAUAUCCAAAACCAAAAACAUUUCCUGUAAUUGCUUUUAAAAGUGGGACCAGGAGAAAGGAAUAUUUUAGUUGUGACUAUAUUAGGAAUGAUAGCAAUGAUAACUGUGGCCCAAAAACAUGGAACAGAUGACAAGGGGCAAAACUCAGAAAGGAAGCAAAUGACUUCCUCAGAGAAAAAUCAUAUCUAGAUAUUAUGGGAAGUCCCUCUUAAAGCUAAAACCAGGGGCACCUGGUGGCUCAGUAGUUGAGCGUCUGCCUUUGGCUCAGGUCCUGAUCCUGGGGUCCUGGGAUCGAGUCCCACAUUGGGCUCCUUGUGAGGCACCUGCUUCUCCCUCUGCCUAUGUCUCUGUCUCUCUCUCCAUGUUUCUCAUGAAUAAAUAAAUACAAUCUUAAAAAAAAAAAAGAAAGCUAAAACCAGGGGUUUAAUGAAAGAAGCAAAUUGAGAACCAGAGCUACUUAGAGCAAAUUUGGACAAUUUGAGAGGGCAUCGGUGGGAGGAUCAGAAUCCAGUCCUGCUAGCACGAUUAGGUUGAGCCUGAAGAUGACAAGAUUAUUAAAAUGGGGCAGCAGGUUCAGUCUGUACCACUGGGAAACAUGCUCUUGGGACUUUUGAUUUAUGAGUCUGAGCCAGCAGUCUCAAGUUGGCUCUCUUUGUCCUACAAUUAGGCCCAGAAACAUAUUAUGUUCUGCUAAUACAGUUUUUAAAAAUAUUCAUUUUCAAAUGAGUAAUUAAAAAAAAAAACUGAAUAAAUCCCUGGACCCAGCACCUCACAGUGCAGCAGUCAGCUGGAGCUGAGCAAUGGAAGUCAUCCUUGGUGAGAAUUCUUACCUCUUUCCUCUGGUUAAUGUCUCCAUUUGCCCAGCUUCUCUCCUUUAUGUCACCCACUUGGCCUCUGCAGGCAUUUGGGCCUGUGACAUCUGUUAAAAAAGAAAAAGUUAUACUUAAAAUGAGACAAGCUAAAGGGAGCUGGCUGACACAUAAGAGCAUAGUCCAGACCUGGGCGAGAUAAUGGAGUGAGGGAGGGUGUCAUGGGGGUAAAGUUAGCCUCCCUCAGCCUUGUAAAAUUAGGCCAGCUUUGGGUAAAUAAGAGAUGAUCUUGGUAGACCCAGGAAGCAUUAGUUUCAUAGCUCUUAUUGGUAGAUUUUUUUUUUUUAUAAUUUUUAUUUAUUUAUGAUAGUCAUCAGAGAGAGAGAGACAGGCAGAGACAUAGGCAGAGGGAGAAGCAGGCUCCAUGCACCGGGAGCCUGAUGUGGGAUUCGAUCCUGGGUCUCCAGGAUCAUGCCCUGGGCCAAAGGCAGGCGCCAAACCACUGCGCCACCCAGGGAUCCCUCUUAUUGGUAGAUUAUCAUAAGAAUCCAUCCAUCCAUCCAUCCUCCAUCCAUCCAGAGCUGUGGGUAGAUUAUCACAAUCCAGAAUCCAGAGAUGUGUUGUUGAACAAAGAAAUUUAAAGAAAAAAGAAAUUUCAGGGAUUAUGGGUCAGGUGCUCAAAUCACUGUAGAUAAAUGGUUGAAUCAUGCCAGCUCUGUGGCUAUAGGGACUUGCCUGACCUGUGGCAAAGGAGACUAUCUAUACCUUCUAUAAAACUGUUCAAAUGAAAAACAGAUAAACUCUGGGGCUUGUCAAGACAAAACCUAUCAAAAACAUGCUUGCAGGACACUAGAAUUUCUGGUUUAUAGAGCUUGAAGGAAAUUUACGGGGAUGGCAUUGCCAGAAGAAGAUAGAACCAUAAGAGAAACGGUUUUAGUAUGAAGGACCCCACAACUGAAUAGUGUAAGUGGUAUUUUUGUUAUUUUUAUUGUUAUGUAAUAGAAUUUUAAAAAUUCAAUUAAGGUAUUUUAAUAGUUGUAACAAAGGGCCUUAACUGAAGUGGAGAACUGUUUAUUUCUUUAGGAAAGUAAGUAUAAUGUGGAAAGUGAGGACAUGGGAAUAUGAUGUAUUCAGAGAGUAAAAUGUUUGUAUGCUUUCCAAAUUCAUAUGUUGAUUUCCUAGCCUCUAUUAUUGGUAUUAUUAGGAGAUGAGGGAUUAUUAGGAGAUGGGGAUUUUGGGAGAGGCGAUCAGGUCAUGAGUGUGCAGCCCUCAUAAAAGAGAUUAGUGCCCUUAUAAAAGAGAUGCCAGAGAGCUCCUUUUUCCCUUCCACCAUGUGAGGACAUAGUGAGAAGACAGCCAUCUGUGACCCAGGAAGUGGGUUCUCAUCACCAGAUCUGCUGACACCUUGAGCUUACUGGCCUCCAGAAUUGUGACAAGUGAAUACUGUUUAAGCCACCCAGUCUAGGGGUAUUUUUUACUACAGCAGCCUGAAUGAACUAAGGCAAAAUAAACUUGCAUAAGAAUAAACACAAGUAUAAAGAUAGAAGAGAACAGAGGUGAUGGAGAAGAGUUAGAGAUCAGAAGGAAGCCCACCAAGAAUUGUGACCUGCGAAAACUUCCAAAGCUCAGGAUAUCCAAGAGACAUAAGAACAAGGAACAGCAAUGAGAACAACAAAAGGGAAACGGACUCAUAGCUAUAGAGAACAAACUGGUGGUGGCCAGAGAGGAGGGAUAAGGAGAUGAGGGAAAGGGAUUAAGAGGUCCUGACUUCCAGUACAAAAUAAGCAAGUCAUGGGGAUGAAAAGUACAGCAUAGAGAAUUUAGUCAAUAAUAUUAUAGUAAUUUUUUAUGGUGAUAGAUGGUGGACUACACUUAUCAUAGUGAGCAUUUCUUAAUGUAUACAAUUGUAGAAACACUAUGUUGUACACCUGAAACUAAUA
rnacentral:lncRNA from 1 species